AACAUUGGACAAUGGGGGAAACCCUGAUCCAGCCAUGCCGCGUGUGUGAAGAAGGUCUUCGGAUUGUAAAGCACUUUAAGUUGGGAGGAAGGGUUGUUGGCUCAUAUACAGCAAUUUUGACGUUACCGACAGAAUAAGCACAGGCUAACUCUGUGACAGCAUCCGCGGUAAUACAGAGGGUGCAAGCGUUAAUCGGAAUUACUGGGCGUAAAGCGCGCGUAGGUGUUUCAGUAAGAUGGGUGUGAAAUCCCCGGGCUUAACCUGGGAUCUGCUUUCAUAACUGCUGAGCUAGAGUACGGUAGAGGGUAGUGGAAUUUCCUGUGUAGCGGUGAAAUGCGUAGAUAUAGGAAGGAACACCAGUGGCGAAGGCGACCACCUGGGCUAAUACUGACACUGAGGUGCGAAAGCGUGGGGAGCAAAC
rnacentral:rRNA from 1 species